rnacentral:rRNA from 1 species
UACAGAGGUCUCAAGCGUUGUUCGGAUUCAUUGGGCGUAAAGGGUGCGUAGGUGGUGGCGUAAGUCUGGUGUGAAAUCUCGGAGCUUAACUCCGAAAUGGCAUUGGAUACUGCGUUACUCGAGGACUGUAGAGGAGAGUGGAAUUCACGGUGUAGCAGUGAAAUGCGUAGAUAUCGUGAGGAAGACCAGUUGCGAAGGCGACUCUCUGGGCAGUUCCUGACACUGAGGCACGAAGGCCAGGGGAGCAAACGGG